rnacentral:tRNA from 1 species
GGCAGGUGGCUCAGUGGUAGAGCUUAGGUUUUGCAUGCCGAAGGCCUUGAGUUCAAUCCCCAGUAUUGCCU